GUGGGGAAUCUUGCGCAAUGGGCGAAAGCCUGACGCAGCCAUGCCGCGUGAAUGAUGAAGGUCUUAGGAUUGUAAAAUUCUUUCACCGGGGACGAUAAUGACGGUACCCGGAGAAGAAGCCCCGGCUAACUUCGUGCCAGCAGCCGCGGUAAUACGAAGGGGGCUAGCGUUGCUCGGAAUUACUGGGCGUAAAGGGCGCGUAGGCGGACAGUUUAGUCAGAGGUGAAAGCCCAGGGCUCAACCUUGGAAUUGCCUUUGAUACUGGCUGUCUUGAGUACAGGAGAGGUGAGUGGAACUCCGAGUGUAGAGGUGAAAUUCGUAGAUAUUCGGAAGAACACCAGUGGCGAAGGCGACUCACUGGCCCGUUACUGACGCUGAGGCGCGAAAGCGUGGGGAGCAAACAGGAUUAGAUACCCUGGUAGUCC
rnacentral:rRNA from 1 species